GACAGAGGUGCCGAGCGUUAGGCGGAAUCACUGGGCUUAAAGCGUGUGUAGGCGGGUCGUUAAGUGCCUUGUGAAAUCCCACAGCUCACCUGUGGAACUGCUUGGCAUACUGGCGGUCUUGAGCCACUUAGGGGCAACCGGGAACAAACGGUGGAGCGGUGAAAUGCGUAGAUAUCGUUUGGAACGCCAAUGGUGAAAACAGGUUGCUGGGAGUGCGCUGACGUGAGACACGAAAGCCAGGGGAGCGAACGGG
rnacentral:rRNA from 1 species